rnacentral:lncRNA from 1 species
AUGGUCCUGGCCAUGAAGGUUGACCUGGUGAGGGGACUGCAGGUCCUUGACCACCUGGGCAAUAGCCAUCAUGACCUGCUGGAUUUCACUAUCCAAUGCAGGUUGUCAAGGGCUCACACCAAGGCUGAAGCCCUUGACUUCAGAAGGGCCAACUUCAAUGAACUUCGGAGACUAGUGGGGGAGGCACUGAGGGCCCAGAAGGUAGAGGAGAUGGGAGUCCAUGAGGUAUGGUUGUACCUUAAGGGGAUGAUCCUCCAGGCCCAAAGGGUAACAGUUCCUGAGAGAAGCAAGGAGGGCAAGCGUGCUCAGAAACUCCCUUGGCUCAGCAAUGGCAUUCAGGGAUGCCUAAGGACUAAAAGGGGGGCAUACAACCAGUGGAAGGGAGGAGAUAUCACCAACGAGGAGUACUCCUCCUCCGCCUGUGAGUGUAGGAGGGCUGUUAGGAAGGCCAAGGCAGAGAUGCAGCGCAGGCUAGCAUCCAGGAUUAACAACAAAAAGUCCUUUUUCAAGUACAUUGGGAGCAAGAAGGCAGUACCAGGAAAUGUAGGGUCCCUGCAAGACUCAAAUCGUAAUCUUGUGGCUACGCCAGACAAGAAAGCUGAUAUUUUUAACAGUUUCUUUGCCUCUGUUUUCUUGAACAGGGACUGGGAUAUCCCUCCUACCAGAGGUAGGGACAAUCUUGGGGACAGCUCUGUCAGGCCUUCAGUCAGUGCAGAUGUAAUUAGGUAUCUUCUGGAAGGGCUAGACAUUUUUAAAUCUGCAGGUCCAGAUGCCCUCCACCCAAGGGUGUUGAGGGAGCUGACAGGGGUCAUUGCGGAGCCCUUGGCCUGGCUGUAUGAGCAUUCAUGGUCAUCUGGCCAGGUGCCGGGGGAUUGGAAACUGACUAAUGUGGUCCCAAUUUUCAAAAAGGGGAGGAAGGAGGACCCAAGUAACUACAGACCUGUAAGCCUCACCUUGGUACUUGGGAAGAUCUUGGAGAGGAUCAUCAAGGAGCACAUCUGUGGGGGGCCGGCAGAGGAGAUCAUGCUUAGAGGCAAUCAGCAUGGGUUCAUCACAGGCUGA